rnacentral:misc_RNA from 1 species
GAUGAAGAACGCAGCGAAAUGCGAUAAGUAAUGUGAAUUGCAGAAUUCAGUGAAUCAUCGAAUCUUUGAACGCACCUUGCGCCCUUUGGCCAUUCCGAAGGGCAUGCCUGUUUGAGUAUCAUGAACACCUCAACUCUUCAUGGUUUUCCGUGAUGAGCUUGGACUUUGGGGGUCUUGCUGGCCUAUGGUCAGCUCCUCUAAAAUAAAUCAGCUUGCCAGUGUUUGGUGGGUAUCACAGGUGUGAUAACUAUCUACGCUUGUGGUUUUCCACCAGGUAACCUUCAGCAGUGGAGGUUCGCUGGAGCUCACAGAUGUGUCUCUCCUCAGUGAGGACAGCUCUUUGAAUGUUUGAUCUCAAAGCAGGUAGGACUACCCGCUGAACUUAAGCAUAUCAAUAAGCGGAGGA